GAUGAACGCUGGCGGCGUGCCUAAUACAUGCAAGUCGAGCGAACAGACGAGGAGCUUGCUCCUCUGACGUUAGCGGCGGACGGGUGAGUAACACGUGGAUAACCUACCUAUAAGACUGGGAUAACUUCGGGAAACCGGAGCUAAUACCGGAUAAUAUAUUGAACCGCAUGGUUCAAUAGUGAAAGACGGUUUUGCUGUCACUUAUAGAUGAAUCCGCGCCGCAUUAGCUAGUUGGUAAGGUAACAGCAUACCAAGGCAACGAUGCGUAGCCGACCUGAGAGGGUGAUCGGCCACACUGGAACUGAGACACGGUCCAGACUCCUACGGGAGGCAGCAGUAGGGAAUCUUGCGCAAUGGGCGAAAGCCUGACGGAGCAACGCCGCGUGAGUGAUGAAGGUCUUCGGAUCGUAAAACUCUUUUAUUAGGGAAGAACAAAUGUGUAAGAAACUAUGCACGUCUUGACGGUACCUAAUCAGAAAGCCACGGCUAACUACGUG
rnacentral:rRNA from 1 species